UACGUAGGAUCCAAGCGUUGUCCGGAUUUACUGGGUGUAAAGGGUGCGCAGGCGGACUGGUGAGUCUGGGGUGAAAUCUCGCUGCUUAACAGCGAAACUGCCUUAGAUACUAUCAGUCUUGAAUCAGCGAGAGGUUCGUGGAAUUCCGAGUGUAGCAGUGAAAUGUGUAGAUAUUCGGAAGAACACCAGUGGCGAAGGCAGCGAACUGGCGCUCGAUUGACGCUCAGGACGAAAGCAUGGGGAAUCAAACAGGAGUUAGAAACCCCUG
rnacentral:rRNA from 1 species